UCCCUCGUGGUCCAGUGGUUAAGACUCUGUGCUUCCACUGCAGGGAGUGCAGGUUCAAUCCCUGGUUGGGGAA
rfam:TPA: Bos taurus chromosome 19, whole genome shotgun sequence.